UAUACAUUUGACCUAGUUUUAAGGCAUUUUUUGUCUAUGGUAUUGGGGUGUCAAUCGUGUCAAUAGUUUCGAAUUCGAUUAUUGUUUCGAUUUUAUGUUUGUUGUUAUUAUCGUGAAAUUGGAAAACGUUAUCUAAUAAUUUCUCCUGUAGAAGACAAAGCAAGGUGACAGUUCCAAAAGGUUAAUUCAUCAGUAGCGUCGUUUGAGAACCAAAAGCUGCCAAAAGGCGUAACAAUAACCGAACUGUGAUCGCCUACUGGCGUUAAAACCAUGGUGAAGUGAAUUGAAAGUGCUUUACCACAGACUGGGUAACCCCGCAAGCCUUAAAAACAAAUCGAAAAAAUCACCUUAAAGGACCAAAAAAAAAAUUUUGUAACCGUUUUUAACUAGUGUACGAACGCCUUAAUUUUUUACCGACUAGUAUUUAAGUAGGUUAUAGUGGUGCGAUUUUUUUACUCAUCAUGUGUGUGACCUGUUGGGUUUGACCCGAAGUGUUGUUGGAUUUUGUGUGGAGAUCAGCUUGCAUCAUGGAGCGGUGCGACGGCUUCCUGGUGUUCCGCAAGCCGGUGUAUAGGGUGUUCCAGUACUUAGAAACGUGAGUAUUACAUUUAAUUUUGUUAUAACAAUCAAUAUGCCAU
rnacentral:lncRNA from 1 species